CAAGCAAGCACUCUCCCCGAUCAUCUUUGGGCCUUGCCUACACACGAAACUCUCGAAUCGGGUGCUGUCUCCUCUUGUAGCAUCCCUCUAUCUUCUUUUCUGCUCAGAGCGACUUUCCAGGAGAGACCUUCUGGGUUCCUCCCUGUCCAGGCAUGAUCUCGGUGACCCUUCUGCUGCUGGCACUGCCGUUCACACUGAGAGGAAGCGGAGCUCAGUCUGUGACUCAGCUGGACAGCAGCAUCACUGUCCCUGAAGGAGCGGCUUUCCAGCUGAGGUGCAACUACACCUACAGUGGAACUCCUUAUCUCUUCUGGUACGUGCAACAUCCCGGCCAAAGCCUCCAGUUUCUCCUCAAGUAUAUGACAGGGGAGCCCUUGGUGAAAGGCACCAAUGGUUUUGAGGCCGAAUUUAAGAAGAGUGAAACCUCUUUUCACCUGAGGAAGCUGUCAGCCCAGCGGAGCGACGAAGCUCAGUACUUCUGUGCUGUGAGUGAGAAUAACAACUAUCAGUUCAUCUGGGGCUCUGGGACCAAGCUAAUUAUAAAGCCAGAUAUCAAGGACCCCGAGCCUGUCAUCUUCCAGCUGAGCUCUAAGUCCAACAACCUCUCCGCCUGCCUGUUCACUGACUAUGAGUCUAAAACCACUCUGCCAGAAAAUACAGGAGGUGAUACGUUCAUCUCAGGGGAAACCGUGCUGGACAUGAGGUCCAUGGAUCACAAGAGCAAUGGUGUCCUGGCCUGGAGUACCAAAGGCAACCUUUCCUGUUUAGAUGUCUUCAACAACUCCAGCCUUUUAGCUUCCUCCGAUGUACUUUGUGAUGCCAAGUUGGUGGAGCAAAGCUUUGAGACAGACAUGAACCUGAACUUUCAAAACCUGUCGGUGAUUGGGCUGCGCGUCCUCCUUCUAAAGGUGGUUGGAUUUAACCUGCUCAUGACCCUGCGCCUGUGGUCCAGCUAAGAUUGGCAAGAUUGCGAGAGUCUUGCUCCCUCCUCAUCGCCACUUGUCUCUCCCUUCAAUCUGGAGGUCAGGGGGUGUUCACCCAAACCCUGCCCAGGGAGAAGAAGACUCCUACAACCACCCUGGCCCAAACUGCCAGUGCCACUGGCUGGAUCCAACCAGAUCUGCGAUGAAGACUGUGGACAAGCUGCCCAGCACUGCUGCUACCCUGCGCCCCUCUGCCCUCCUUCUGCUGCUUGCCACUGCCUGAUGCUCACAGCAAGUGGCAGCCUCUCACAGGCUCUGUCCCCAUCCCCCAGAGCCUGACCCUUCUGUCCCCAGCCCUCCCUCCCCAUGAUGGGGACAUACCCACAACACCCCAUGGACUCUUUUGAGCUAUAGCUCCUGAAGAAUGUUUGUAUUUUUUAAAAUAGUGUUCUUUAAAAAAAAAAAAAGAGGAAUAUUCUGCUUUUAUCUGGGGGUGGUAGGGGAGUAGGCUUACUCUCUAGACCUGGCCUUGCUGUAUAUCUGAGCCAUAUUGUGACUCCAUGCCUAUUUCAUCAUUAAAGGUGACUGCGAAGAUCAAA